rnacentral:rRNA from 1 species
GAUGAACGCUGGCGGCGUGCCUAAUACAUGCAAGUCGAACGAACAGACGAGGAGCUUGCUCCUCUGACGUUAGCGGCGGACGGGUGAGUAACACGUGGAUAACCUACCUAUAAGACUGGGAUAACUUCGGGAAACCGGAGCUAAUACCGGAUAAUAUAUUGAACCGCAUGGUUCAAUAGUGAAAGACGGUUUUGCUGUCACUUAUAGAUGGAUCCGCGCCGCAUUAGCUAGUUGGUAAGGUAACGGCUUACCAAGGCAACGAUGCGUAGCCGACCUGAGAGGGUGAUCGGCCACACUGGAACUGAGACACGGUCCAGACUCCUACGGGAGGCAGCAGUAGGGAAUCUUCCGCAAUGGGCGAAAGCCUGACGAAGCAACGCCGCGUGAGUGAUGAAGGUCUUCGGAUCGUAAAACUCUGUUAUUAGGGAAGAACAAAUGUGUAAGUAACUAUGCACGUCUUGACGGUACCUAAUCAGAAAGCCACGGCUAACUACGUG